UAGUAUUUUAAUGUUUGUUAAAUUUAUUUUAAACACUUAAGAUCAAUUGUACAGGAGCUGCCUGGCUCUACUGCAGAUGUGACCAGAGCCACCUGUCUCCUUGGUCACUGACACAUCCAUCCAUGUUCAAACAAACAGACACAUUCCUGCUUCAUCAUGGUAGAUAUCAGCUGUGGACAGUACAAGGUGAGUCCUCCUGCACCCCAGAGCAGGGGGGAAGGCAGAGGAGCGUGCUCAUAGGUCCAGCCACCUUGUGGCUAGUCAGAGGUGUAACACAAAGGAGGCAUACUCCCUGUUUUGUAGCCCUUCAUGGGCUACUGAAUGCUCAAUUUCCUGUUGUUGUGAGAAGGGAGGGCUCCCACUUCAUGCCCUCUCCACCUGUCACAGUGAGAUCAACCCAGCGGGGUUACAAAUACAGGGUUAGAAAACAGAUGGAAAAAAAACAGAGAUGAUAAAUUCUAGAACAAUUAUUCCCAUCUUCCCUCUCACGUAACAGCAUGGCCUCCAGUGCACUCCCUGCUAGGGCAGAUGUGACACAGGUGGGAU